rnacentral:rRNA from 1 species
UACGUAGGGUGCGAGCGUUUGUCCGGAAUUAUUGGGCGUAAAGAGCUUGUAGGCGGUUUGUCGCGUCUGCUGUGAAAAUCCGGGGCUCAACCUGGGAAUUGCAGUGGAUACUGGCAAGCUAGAGUGCGGUAGAGGAUGGUGGAAUUCCCGGUGUAGCGGUGAAAUGCGUAGAGAUCGGGAGGAACACCCGUGGCGAAGGCGGCCAUCUGGACCAGCACUGACGCUGAGGCACGAAAGCGUGGGGAGCGAACCGG